rnacentral:pre_miRNA from 1 species
UAUGUACUCCCUCCAUUCCAAAAUACUUGACUUCCAUUUGUCCAAAAAUGGAUGUACCUAUAUACUAAAACAUGUCUAGAUACAUCUAUAUUUUGACAAAUAUAAGGCAUGUAUUGUGGAAUGGAGGGAGUAGAAU